rnacentral:rRNA from 1 species
GAUGAACGCUGGCGGUAUGCUUAACACAUGCAAGUCGAACGGACUCUUCGGAGUUAGUGGCGGACGGGUGAGUAACGCGUGAGAAUCUGGCUUCUGGUUCGGGAUAACAGUGGGAAACGACUGCUAAUACCGGAUGUGCCUGCGGGUAAAAGGCUUGCUGCCAGAAGAUGAGCUCGCGUCUGAUUAGCUAGUUGGUGGGGUAAGAGCCUACCAAGGCGACGAUCAGUAGCUGGUCUGAGAGGAUGAUCAGCCACACUGGGACUGAGACACGGCCCAGACUCCUACGGGAGGCAGCAGUGGGGAAUUUUCCGCAAUGGGCGAAAGCCUGACGGAGCAAUACCGCGUGAGGGAAGAAGGCUCUUGGGUUGUAAACCUCUUUUCUCAGGGAAUAAGAAAGUGAAGGUACCUGAGGAAUCAGCAUCGGCUAACUCCGUGCCAGCAGCCGCGGUAAUACGGAGGAUGCAAGCGUUAUCCGGAAUGAUUGGGCGUAAAGCGUCCGCAGGUGGUUAUUCA